UAUAUCACCGAAGCGCAUGCGUCACGGGCCGCUAUACACAAGCAGACGUGUUCAAAUGCCGUGUAUAAUAUGUCAGAUGUCAUUUACCUUGCUAGACAUAACUAACUUGUUUCAGUGUUUCCGUGGACACUAUUAAUGGUCAGAUUGUAAUUAGACACUGCAAAAUGGCCACUCAAUGUCUUUUGGAUAAUAUGGAGACCGGGGAUCUGCCGGAUGAUGCUCCUGCAGUGUAUGGAUGUGAUGGAUGCAGUAGAUUAGCCAAAUCAUCUAAGAGAUCUCCAUGUGGUCAUAGUAUAUUUAUAUUCAAGUCGCUCUUAUAUAAUAAAGUCACCAGAGAAGUGUGUAGAGCAUGUGGGAUAGCUUUAGGAAUUGGUACAUUUAUAAUAGGUUUGCGAUAUAGAAACAGUUGUCAUUUUGAACCAGCUAUACCAAUAUUUUUAAUGGUAUUUGGAAGUGUACUCGCAUUACAAACUGUAUUUAGAACUAUUUUAUUAUGUCGACCAAAGAUAAAGAUUGUAGAAGGAGAAGCUGAAGGAUUAGAUCCGUUAGCAAUGUUGAUAAAAAUACAGACACUAUUCUUAGUACUGUGGAUUUUAGCAGGCUCAGUAUGGAUUUAUAGUGCCAAGGGUAUAGUGCAGUUUUGGCAACUCAAUAUUGCUAAUUAUUGUAACGUUACCGUGUUUUGGACGUCGUUUGGUGUAGUUACGUCAGCGUACUGUAGUGUGUUCUUAGUGAUAGUGUAUUUUGUGUUGACCUACACAGUAUUAAAACUAAACACAGAUCAAAAAUUGCGAACAGCCAGCGUUUCGUCCACAGAUAGUGAUGAAAGUAAUAGUUCUGACCUCACGCCUGUGGAGUUUAUAGCACCCAAGAAGAUCUGAUACUUGACCCCAUCAAAUUAAAAUUUGUGAUCGAGGAUAGAUAAGCACUAUGGGUUAUGUGAUGAAUGGGCAGAUUAUUUGUGACUUGGAGAUCAAGUUAUGAUCUUGAUCUUUACUGAAUCAAGUUUAUCUGCCCGACAUAUCCAAUCUGGGAUGGGGGCUUUCCACAACAUCAUCAAGUUAUAUACGUGAUCUAUACUCAACCAAAUUUAUUUGUCCGAAAUCUUUAACAAAUAAUCUGAAACCAUCCAAUUGGUGAUGAUCACCACAAGAUCACCGUGCUAUGGUUGAGAUACAUACUCAGUUCAGUGUUAAAUUGUAUAGUGUGGAUUUACUGAAUCGUGAUUUACAUGUAGAUACACAAUGCUUUAAAUCAGUUGUAACUGCAGUAUUGAUAGAUGUUGGGUUAAAACAGGGAUCCCUGCUCUACCCUUACUCUUUCUAGUAAAUCAUUAACAUUACCGUGAUCAAAUGUUGUAUUGGUUAAAUAUAUAUAUUGUUUAUUCUUUGAGUGCAUCUAGUCAUAAAUAAUAAACUCAAAUAAUAUAUUCAUAAUGUAUGUGAUAUAUGUUAGCAUCGAAGUCAGCAGACUGUUAGCAGAGGGGAAAAUUUCUUCAUGAAGGUGGUAUAACUUACCAUUCCAACAACCCAAACGUUUUCUGGAAUGGCACAUUACCCUGUGGGACGUACGCAGGGUGCUCGCCACCAUUUCGGCGAUCUACUUGCAAUGGCAUACCACUUUGUGCGGUUUAAGACGGAGGGUUGUUGACACCAAACGCAUGUGGUGGUUAUCAAUAGUAUAGUGUAACAAUAGUCUCCACGGAGUACAGUAACACAGAUAAAAUGAAAUUGGGUAUAUUGUUGACUCAAAUAUUAAUAUUGUUGUUUGUAUUGAUAUACACGUACUCGUUAAAUAAAGGAUAUAAAACCUC